GCGCUGCAACCUGGGCACUGGUUUGGCGCAAGACCUCCCUGAUCAAGACAUGUAAAAGGCACAAAUAAUAGCCAGUGUCCUCCAUGGCCUUGCUUCAUGAGCAUGAUGAUGAUACGUAUAUGGAAUACACAACUUAAUGAUAAGAGCCACACACUGCAGGACAUGUGGAAGGAAGGACAUCAAGCGACACAGCGAAGGGACCCCCGCUCAAUGGCAGGCUGACAACUCACCCCCGUGCGUGACCACCCUGAGGCGGCCUGACGAGUCCCUCUCCUCCUCGCCUUCGCCCGGGAGACACUUGGCGCUGGCCACUGGGGUGUCGUCUGGAUCGAAACGAGAACUCAUUCCCGUUAUUGGCAAAGUCCAGCGAGUCGGUGUCGUCGGGGGUCUCGAUGUCAUCCACGUUGAUGUCCAGGUCGUCCGAGAGCAGCGAGCCCUCGCUGUGCUCCAGCGAUAGGUUCAUGUCGGG